UACGAAGGUUGUUACACCCAUUCUGCAGGACACAGGAGGGGCCAUCUUAAUACGCUCGGCAGAGAAUGGUGCUCGGAGAAGCUGUGCUGGAGGGGAUGGUCGUCGGCUCGGAGGUUCGACGGUCUUGGAGUCCGCUGUAGUUAGGUCGCUUUCGGUGUGUGCUGCGUCUGCGAGGCUGAGUCGGGCAGCGCCGUGGAAGUCCAUAGCGGAGGUAUUCCCUUCUGCCGCCAGCGUGGGAUGAACUUCGUCUCCCACCACACAUUUGGACCCAGAUCAGAGGUCACCCUUUUCGGAAGGGCUGAGUUCGUACGACUGCUCUCCUCAUAUGAUGGUGAAAAGAUGCUUCUGAUAUUCUGAGAUUUAUGUGAUUAUUGGACUGUACUUUAUAUUG